rnacentral:lncRNA from 1 species
CCCAAACAUGAUACUUAUUUAUUGAUAAUUCAUACCCUGCCUAUUUCUCAAAAAUGACUUGAGAAAAACUGCACAACAUAGCGACAAUACACAUACAGAAAUUAAAAGUGAAACAGGAAUACAUAGAGAUAUAACACACAAACAUCAAACUAUGAUUAGAUCAGGUAAAUGAGUGUUCUGAACUGCUUUGGUGUCACAGAGGCAUUUAAAAAUAUAGUAAAUACUACAGAUCCUUGUCCCAGCAAAAUUCCUUCAAGCACAUACCCAGCUUUGUUCGAUCCCUAGGGGUCUGCAACUCCUAAACCCCUACAUGCUAAAGACUCCUAGGCAGGCCAUGGACCCCCAGAUUAAGAACUCUAAAGUAAAUGAAAGUCAGAGAAAAUAUGGAUUUGAAUAAAAUAAUGAAAAAAUUGAGUUAACAAAUAGAACUGGUAGAAUAAAAACACAUUUUGAGAUUACACAAAUGCUUUUAUAAAAACUGAUAAUAUAUUCAGGCCCAAAGAAGUCCUAUGGACACUUAGAAAUGUUGACACCACAGUACAGUAAGAAAUAAGCAGCAAUACCCUAAGCAUUCAUCACUUAGAAAUUUUUUUUAUAUAUAUUUUUUUUGAGACAGAGUCUAGCUCUUUUGCCCAGGCUGGAGUGCAGUGGCACCACCUCGGCUCACUGCAAGCUCUGCCUCCCGGGUUCACACCAUUCUCCUGCCUCAGCCUCCCAACUGGGAUUACAGGCACCCGCCACCAUGCCCAGUUAAUUUUUGUAUUUUUAGUAGAGACGGGUUUUCACCAUGUUGGCCAGGCUGGUCUUAAACUCCUGACCUCGUGAUCCACCCACCUCGGCCUUCCAAAGUGCUGGGAUUACAGGUGUGAGUCACCAUGCCCGGCCCACUUAGAAAUAUUUUUAAAUAAUAACAUUUGGGCAAAAGGAAAUUCUUAAUACUAUAACAAAAAACACCACGUCAAAACUUACGGAGUGCAGACAAAGCUGUCACUCUAAGGAGAAGAAGAAAUAAAAAAA